rnacentral:tRNA from 1 species
ACGGGUGUAGUUCAAUUGGCAGAGCAGCGGUCUCCAAAACCGCAAGUUGGGAGUUCGAGUCUCUCCACCCGUGCAA